rnacentral:misc_RNA from 1 species
CCUAGCCUAGCACGGCAGACGUGUUUAUAUUCUUCGCGAAUGUAGCCAGCUCGUCAACCACCACGAAUUUUGUUAUCGCUAUCGCUAGCCGAGUGGUUUGGUUAUCAUCACUCGCGUAGUUUCCUGGUCGAAUUACUGUAUCCGAGCAUUAGCAUUGUUUUAAUACAUUUUUAAUAGUCUGUUUGUGUCGUUGUUUUGGUGAGCGCGAUAGAUAAGUGACUUGGUUCGAGAACAAUGGAUAUUAUGGAAUCCGAGCUCUAUCAGCAGCUCGAUCAGCUGGAAGAGGAGUUUAAUGUGAUUUUGAGGAAAGACAGUGAUUUUUCCUUGAAUAGACUGAAUAGCAAUAGCGUUACUUCUAUCAACAGUGUCAAUAGUAAUGCGUCUAGGAAGUCUGAAUGGGAGGAUUAUUGGGCAUGCGAGCAAUCCAUCGCUAGUGCCCGAGCAAGUGUAAUGGUAUACGACGAUGUUAACAAAAAGUGGAUUCCAUCGGGCACGUCGUCGGGUCUUUCAAAAGUUCACAUCUACCAACAUACGGUGCACCAGACGUUUCGAGUGGUUGGAAGGAAACUUCACGACCAUGAGGUCGUCAUAAACUGUGCCAUUCUAAAAGGACUGAAAUACAACCAAGCCACAUCGACGUUUCAUCAGUGGCGAGACAAUAAGCAGGUUUACGGAUUAAAUUUUAGCUCUAAAGAAGACGCAGAUUGUUUCGCCAGAGCCAUGUUCCAUUCAUUAGAAGUACUUAGCAACAUAGUUAGGCAACCCGCACCACCUCCCCAAUACGUCCCUCCAACGCAACAAAUUCAGCAACAAAUCCAACAACAAAUUCAACAGCAACCGCCUCAGAUACAAAUGCAACCCCAACCGCCUCAACCCCCUCAAAUGCCACAAAUGCCCCAGCAGCCCCAAUACGACGAAGAUAUGGGUUACCGCACGAUGACCCGCGAAGACGUCGCCAUUCUUCAGGAAAGGAGGAUAUCUUCGAAUCUGAUGUCGCCCCAACAGACCUCCCCCAUGACGCCACAAGUUAAUAACGUGCCUGUGCCACCCGCUAUGCCUAUGGGGGCACCUAGUCCUGUCUCACCCCCACAAAAUGUUCCAGUAGUCAACCAGACGACAGGGCACCAACGGACAGUAAGUGCCCCUCCCGCUCCGCCACCGCCUCCAGGACCUCCUGGUCCACCUCCGAUAACAGCGGCAGCGGCACCACCUCCCCCACCACCACCUCCCAUGAAUAUGUCCAGGUCACAAAGCAGUGACGGUGGCGAAAUCAAUUCUUUAGCUGCACAGUUACAGAAUGCUAGGCUCAAGAGGAAUAGUAAGAAUACUCCUCCCCCGACUGAAAAUAGUGGAUCUUCGACAAGUAGUGGCGGUAGCAGUAAUUAUGGUACUAUAGGAAGAGGUGGAGGCGGUAGUAUGGCCUCCAUGAUGGACGAAAUGGCCAAAACAUUAGCUAGGAGAAGAGCAGCGGUGGAGAAAAAAGUACCGGAUAACGUCGAAGACGAGAAAAAGGCUGCGAUUUGGGAAAAGACCAACACGUUGCCGAGCAAUUCCAAAUUCAGUUCCGAGUCACCUAAAGGCGUUCGAAAACGGUUCGGAUCAGCUUCAGAGGAAACGAUAUUAAAAGUCAAUGGCCUAUCCGAAGUCGGCGGUCUUUCGAUCGGUCCCACGGAAAUGGAGAGUCUUAAAAAUGAGAUAGUCAAAGAAGUCAGAAAAGAAAUCGCGAAAAUGAAACAAGACAUAUUAGAUGCAAUCAAAUCAGAACUGAACCGGAGGUAAUUCACGUGCAAAGUGCAACUACCUUUGCUGUUUAAUAAUUAUUGAAUUUUUUGUAUAAUUUUUACACACGAACCAGACUAAAACGACAAUUUAUAAUAACAUUUAAUAUUGAUUCCUAUGUUGCGCAGUUGAAGUGAGGGAUUUUUACGCCAUUAUACGGAUUGGUAUUGUAUAUCUGGGAUCUAAGUUUAGACUUCGCAAAGGAAAGAAUUAUUUAAAAAAACUUUAACAUUGAAGUAUAAAACUUCUGUUGUAAUUGGUAUAAGUACUCAUCUUCAUCUACAUCUUCAGCGAACUUUGAAGUACUUACGCUAAUAACCGCAAAACCAAACAAUGGUUGGGCUUAAAUUGUAGACUACAUACUUAAAAGUAUUAAAUUAAACGACAUACAGUCGAUGUUUAAGUCAUUGUUUUAAAUAAAUGUCGCUACAGCGUUUUACAGCAAAUUAUUUCAUAUUUUACUUAGUAAGACGGUUGGUUUUAUAGUCCAAGAGGCAGCGCUGAAAAAUUUCUCUGAAUUUACUAAAGCUAAUUAUUUCACAGUUGAUUACUGUGAUUGUGUAGAGAAACAUACUGCGGUCGGUCAAGCUAAACGUAGAACAUGUAGUACUGACAGCUUGUCAAAAUUGUUUACCUGCGGAGGUAAUUAAAUCCAUUUACUAAGGCUGAAAAUCAGUACACACAUUCUAAAUUGAAUAUAAAUAAAAGUUAUAAUAACUAGGAAGACGACGAAAAGUUAUUAUAGUCGGUCAGCUGUAUGACGGGACAGAGCCGGUCGGUCGGCCCCAAUGAAUGUACAGGGUUAUUCACUAUAUUUUGACCCUCCUCUAAACUGCUUUAUUUACAGAAUUAGAAAAAAAUGUAAAAUACAAAACUGAUUCGAUUUUUAAAUUAUGAUUUUUGACAUAUAUAUCGCACUAGUGACGUCAUCCAUCUGGUCGUGAUGAAGUAAUCGACGAUCUUUUUUUAAUGAGAAUAGGGGUCGUGUCCUAGCUCAUUUGAAAGGUUAUUAAUUCUCUAUUCAGUAAUAUAAACAUUAACUUGAUUGUUUAUACAGGGUGUCCAAAAAAAUUUUUUAAAUAAAUUGUUUAAUUAAUAAUUAAAAAAAAAUUUUGGACAACUUAUAUAAAUAAUGAUUUUAAUGUUUAUAUUACUGCAUAGAGAAUUGAAUAACCUUUCAAAUGAGCUAGCACACAACCCCUAUUCUCAUUUAAGAAAAUAGUCGAUUACGUCAUCACGCCCAGAUGGAUGACGUCACUAGUACGAUAUAUAUGUCAAAAAAUCAUAAUAAAAAAAUCGAAUAACUUUUGUAUUUUACAUUUUUUUCUAAUUCUGUAAAGAAAGCAGAUUACAAGGCUUUAGUAAAUUCAGAGAAAUUUUUCAGAGCUGCCUCUUGGACUAUAACUGUCUUUCAUUUUUUUUAGUUUUACUCCUACCUGAGUACAAGGAAUCAGGAUUCGAUGGAAUUUUACCUAGAUAAAUUGACGGGUUGUGGAAUGCAAUCGUGGAUUCCCCCUAGUCAGCUUUAUUUAUCGUUCAUUUGUCUUGCAAAUUUUAGGAGGAAAAGCAAACGAUAUAAUAAGAUUUCCGAUCUAAGAUUUCUCAUUGUUUUAUUUAUAAUUUAUUUGCUGCAAAUCUACAUGGUAUGUCUCUCUUUAAUUUGAAUACUUUAGGUUUGUACACUACAAAUUUCCCAGAUUACAAUAUCAUGGAAGAUCACUAGAUAUACAUAACGUAGAAUUUUUCAUUUGGUUUUCUCAAUCUACAGUAUUAUGACGGAAGUAUCUUCUAAAUUUUUAUAAAUAUCUUUCCUAAAAUGAAUAAGACAUAUAAUAAAGACUGAAACGAUGUUUAUACAAUUUUAUAAAGGAGGAGUACGGUAUCUUUGACUAAAAAACUUCUACAACUUCACUGCCUGUGACACCUCUAACACACUUUUUUGAUUUUGUACUAUUCUCAUGUGGAUGAGUAGGGAAACAAGAAAUCGGGCAAUGUUUUUCAAUAAUUUUAGAUGCUGAAAGAAAAUUUAAUGACUGAGAAAGAAAUCUACAAAAAGAGCUACUAGACUCGGUUUACAUUUAUGCGAUAAAAUACAAGUUACAGAUGAGUUGGAAGUCAUAUCUGCAUUUAAAAGUUACGAGGGCGAGUCAAUACGUCCAUAACUUGAACGAAACACAGUCUCCUUUGAGUUCUAUACACUUAGGGCCGGUUGUUCGAACGCUAAUCAAAAAUGGAAUCAACUGAUCAUUAUCAAAUAUUUAAUUACUGUGACCAACUGUCAAUGUCAACUUUGAUUGGGUUGAUGAAAACAUAAUUGCAGUUAUGAGAUUAAUUGAUUAAUUAAUAAUUAGUCAAUCAAUGAUGUUAAUUAUCAUAAUGAUAAUUAAUUGAAUACAAUCAACUGAUUGGCGUACGAACAACGGAUUUUGUUAUUUGAUGGUUGUUAAGGGGACUUGAUUAUAAUCAACUUCUUGAUUAGCGUUCGAACAACCGGCCCUAAGUUCAACGUUUCUCCAAUCUUUUUAUAUCUUCGGAAAAAUGUGAUUUGUCGAGAUCAUCAAAAUAGGCAUUUGUUGUUGAGAUGAUUUCAUCGUUGGUGUCAAAUCUUUCUUCAAUUUUGAGAACAAGAAAUAUUCACCCGGGGCUAAAUCUGGAGAAUGGGGCGGAUGAGGAGCAAUUCGGAGCCUAAUUCAUAGAUUUUGCCAUGAAAACUGCACAGCACACAUGUGUGCACUCUUGCAUUAUCCUGGCGGAAAAAAACUUUUCUCUUAGCCAAAUGUGAUCGUUUUUUUUUUCAAUAGGUAACUUGCACAUUUUUUUUAUUACAUAAUAUUGUUCUGUUCUCCAAAAUUUCACGCUUCAAAAACUCAUAAUAUCUUAGAAGUACAAGUUUAAAAUCUUCUGUGAUUUAAAAUAGUUCAAACGACCCGUGACGUCACAUAGUUGAACUAUAUGGUUAUAGUUAGGUAUAUUUUUCUUCUUCUUUAGUUUAUUGGUCUCCACCUUCUUGGGUAUCUGGCCAGCUCAUCGUCGCGGAAUAAGGAAAAAAUAUUUAUAUUCUAAUGACAUUUAUAGUAUGUCAUUGUAAUAAUAUAUACCAGUUUAUUGAGAUUGGAGUUUGAUACAGUUUUUGAAGGAAAGGAAAGAAGGUUUACUAUGGAAAAUAAAACCAUUUUGUAAAAGUACAAAUUUUCUAUGAAUAGGUCAAACGAUCAAAAACACUUGUGACGUCACAUAACUGUAUUUUCUACUGACGUUUAUAAUGUCUAAUUUAAAAUUAUAUACAAUUUUGUUUACUUUGUUGGUGCAGAAUGUAAACAUAUAACCGGAUGACGUCACGACGCGUUUUGGGCUGGCUGGUAUAAUUUGAAUUUUUAAUCGUCUUUAGGGGCCAAACUAAAGACAAAAAAUCUUUUUUAUCUUUGAUAAAUGUUUUAAAUUAUGUUCUGUUGUGAUUUAUAACAUUUUUUCGAAUUUAAAAUUUUAUGCAAGUUCCCUACUAGGCAUCCAAAACGUUUGGCAUCUUCCAUACUUAUACGCUCACAUCGAAAUUAAGUAAACCACUUCUUUACCAUGGAAAUGGAUGGUGCAGAGGUCCCAUAAUAGCUUAGCCUUGGUUUGGGUAAUAGUUUUUUUCCACAAUCAAUAAUGCAUGAGCACACAAAAUUGACUUUUUUACCAUUUUCUUCUCAAAACGCGCGAUAGUUUGCUAUCAGCGGCUGCCAAACAAACUAAAUGACAGAUCUUGUUCAAAUUUAGACCGCAGUCAAGUGAGAGUUGCCUGUUGACAAGAACAGGGUUGCCAUUUAAUUAAGAGGCGGGAAAUUCAAAAAGUCACGCUCUUAUUGGCCCGCUCUCAUACUUUUAAAGGUAGACACUUUAUAUGUGCAAAUAUAGUGUCGUACUAGGAGACUCAGUAAAGUAUCAUCGCUUAGUGUGAUCCUCAUUUAAUAAAAUAAUUUGUAAAUCUCCAGUAGACAGCGAAACCUUCAGCAUAAAACUAGAACAAACAUAAACCGACUCUUGUUUCUUGUACUCCCCCUAAAACCAGUUGCACAAGCUUGUUAUCUCGUUUUUACUACAUUGUAGUCCCAUAUCUUGUACUGCGUAACGCCUGUAUAUAUUCUUAGCUUAAGGACUUCCAUUGACAGUUUUAUCUUGAGAUUGGACACCGAAUACUGAUCAUUACCACUUUUUCUGAGUAUUCCAUUACAUUAUUGUUUGUGUAAGUAUUGUUUUGGUAAGAAUUAUGUACAAGAGGUUAGGUUUUUCUUUAGUUACUAACUACGAAUCAUGAUUUUUGUUCAAUGUCUUUAAUCUGAACACUACCUAGUGCUUGAUGAGGUGAUAACUUGUAGCUAGUCUAUACACCAGCUCAUACUUGUACGACUAUAGCUGAAUAUGAAUGUACAAGCCUACAGAUAUAUCUGAAACCUCGAAGGUCGCGCCGGUAGCAAAUGAAGGAGAGAGGACUUCAGUCGAACGCGUUGUUUCAAAUAGUAAACAUCCAUUUAAAAUGCAUUGUACACGAAAUCAGUGGUUUUGCGACAUUCAACCCUAUUCUGUAACUUUUAACAAAUCGAAUAGAAAUGACCAAGUCGAAUCGUAAUUACCCGAAAUCGGAAUGUUUGAUAUCUAUCGCGUGAUUUUCGUGUUUGGAUUGGAAUUCUGUAACUCACAUCGUAAGCAGGUUAAAUCGAAAUCGGCAAUUUCUAUUUCACGCGGUCAAGAGGGGGUGGCAACCCCGCAUUGUCAAGCGAAAUUAGUGUUCUGUGACCUGUUUGUUACUAGUUCUAAAUUUGAAAUACGGCAUCGUUGCCAUAUCUUCAAUUUUUCAUACUAUCACAUUUACAGUUACAUUUUUAAAAAUAGUUUUGAAAUAACAAAAAAGAAACGUUUUGAAAAGUAAACAAUAAAAUAUCAGUGUAAAUAUUGGACACGAAACCUCAAAAGAUGAUAAAUGGUUUCAAAUCAAAGUUAAUUAAAAUUGUUAUAAAAAGAAGAUAAACUGAUAAAUAAAAAAGGUAAUGAGGAUAAGAUGUAUCAUGUAAGAUACAUCUACAUCAUACUAAUAAUUAUAUUACUAAUAAUUAUACAAUCUUAAGAUUUGAUUCCAGCUAGAAUAACUUAUAAACAACUUUUCCCAAAAACAGCGUCUUUUCUAUAAGUAUUUUCUUUUCUCUAAUAUGUAUCAAUCAACGCUAUAAGUCUCUAUUUAUAUUUUAAACAUUCUUGUACAAUCUAUUCUUGUACAUUAUGCCAUUGAUUGAAAUUGUGCAAGAAAUAAACAAAAAAAGUUUGGCAACGCUGUGACUGGCAAACAUUCAGCAUUCAGAAUCUGAAUUUCGGAUGCCAAAUCAAUUUUAAGGUUAGGUUUCAUGCAUACUCGUACAUGUCUAAAUUAAAUAUACCUACAAUUCCCUAAGUAAAUACCACCUCAGACUAAAAAUUAGAUACAGAUACAAAAGGUAAAAAUACUAUAAAUAAUGAUAAAUAAGUAGUAAUAAAUUAUUUUUAGUAGCUAUAAAAUAUAAACGUCAAAACAAAAUACAAUGCGCUUGCGUCAAGCACAAUUCCGAUUAUCGAAAUCUAAUUUCGACAGGGUAAAUGGUGUCGAAGUCAUUUCUAUUCACUAUUCCGAUUGUAGAGAUUCCGAGGGAGUUAUGGAAUACCGAUUUUGACUAUUUCUAUUCGACUUGGCUACUUUAUUCGAUUUUCCUGACUUCUAUCAUCGAAAUGAGUUACAGAAUGGAAAUGAUUGUCAGAUAAAAUCGUCGAAUAGUUGUUUAGUUAGAAUACAUUUAAUACGUUUUUAAUAAUCAUUAAUAUUAUAAGUGCCGUGAAAAAUAGGACACUAACUGCACAAUCCUGUGAUAGUAUAAACAUAGGUAGUUUUAAAAUUUACGCGGAAGCAAAUUUUACUGUGAAACAGGUAAUAAAUAAAAAACCGAAAAACCUGUGAAACAGAUACAGAUAUUUCUGUCGGUUUGUACUUAUCAAUAGAAUCUCCCUUUAAAUAAUACAUGCCUACACGCUAGAGUCUAGAGAGAAAUUCACACCAAGAGUGCAGUACGGCUAAGAGAGGGCAAUACAUUUCUAAUGGGGAAUAAACGCACAGGGUUGUCGGUCUUCACCAGUUGUUGAUUGCUCUCUCAAGAGCGUCGAACAGGAACUGUGGCAACACUGAAUGCGCCUUCCUAUCUUAACCGUACUGCACUCCCAGUGUGAAUUUCACAAUAGAGGUUAAUACAUUGGUUAUAGAAUAAAAUAACAAUGUACACAGUAAAGGCUUAGACUUAAUCAUGAUCUUUAAGAAGUCGGUUUUAAGAAGUUAUAAUUAACUGAUUGUACGUAAUGCUUACACUUUAUUUACUGAGAUAUAAAAAUAAGGUUAGUGAGUGUAGAGGUAUGAAAUGUCAAGUCUUCUAUACCACCGUAAAUAUAUUGAGGCUCUAUUUUAAUGUUUAAUUUGCUAUAAAUUGAAAUAGUUUGUAUAGAAUAUGUUGCAUCAAAAACAGUAUAGAAAGAGGUAAUAAUUGCGCAAUUGUUGAUCAUUUUUAUCAAUGCAAGAGGCACCGGAAGUUAUGGAAACGCCAAAGCAAGUCACAAAGCUCAGAGAAAUGGAAUGAAAUUCUGAAUCUCCGUAUAAUAGUUGAGCGGUUUUCUUCUUCAUGUACUAUGUUCUUUCAGAACGUUGUUUACCAUCAUAGCUAUCUUAAUUUUAUUCACUGCCACCCUAAAUAGCAUACUUGUAUCAAUACCAUACCAAUCUCACAAGUUCUUCAACCUGAAGUCUUUCUUCGUCAUGGACUGUGUUUGCCUGCUAUUUUCCGUUCCGUUUUUUUUUGGAACAGGCUUUUGCCAUUCAGCCAGUCACAACUUUUUUAAGUUCUUCCUAAAGCAAAGAAAAGAAAGUAAUUAUCACAAUACCUAUUUGAUUAUCAGUAAGGAAUAACAUGGUUACUCGCGUCUCGUCUAGGGACCCAUCAAGACAUUAAAUUAAUACACAAACUAGAAAGAUACUGUAUUAAAACGAGCGAUUUCGUAUUUAUAUACGACUUUAUUAAUUAUUUAUUGAUACAAGUUUUCUUUUACAAACUCUAGCUUAAAACUGAACUCUAUUUACAAAAUAUAUUCCUAUUUAUAGCUCAGCCGUUAUUCUGGAACAAUCCACGCUCAUCUCUAGUUAUCAUCUCCGCCCGCUUACCUGAGGUACGUUUUCGAACACCGUUCUUUACCCCUCUGCCGCCGCCCGCCGCCUCGAACAUUCGAUUACGUCAUACACGUCUCGAUUUGUGUAGUGGCGGCAGAGGGGUAAAGAACGGUGUUCGAGAACGUAUCUCAGGUAAGCGGGCGGAGCCGAUAGCUAGAAAUGAGCGUGGAUUGUUCCAGAAUAACGGCUGGGCUAUAAAUAGGAAUAUAUUUUGUAAAUAGAGUUCAGUUUUAAGCUAGAGUUUGUAAAAGAAAACUUGUAUAAAUAAAUAAUUAAUAAAGUCGUAUAUAAAUACGAAAUCGCUCGUUUUGUUACAGUGGUGUCAGGUGUGGGGUAAACUUAGUGUGAUAUAAAUACGUGAAUUAGAGAAAGACUUAAAAGGCUUUUGAACUUUAUAUGGGGGGUCGGUCAAGAGUUCUCUUUCGUUACAAUACACAAUUUGAUCAACUUGCCUAAGUUUGGUACUAUUAAUUAUCAAUUUGGUUUCAAUUAAAUAUCAAGUAUCUUCUUUUCUAUUAAAAAUAAUAUCUUAUGUUCUGGAAUCCGUUUUUGAAAGUUCUCUCUGUUUGGCCUAUGUAAAUUUUUUGAAAAUCCCUACAAUUGUUAAACAAGUGAAUUUUUGUUACAAUAUUAGUUCGUAUAUGUACUAACUGGUGCUUCUUGUAAUGAAAUUGGUUUAAAAAAUGUACAAAUGAUAAGUAUUUUCGCAGAUUUUAAGUUGUAUAGAAGACUUGUGAUAUUGUAAAAAUAUUAACCAGGAAUCUUAGAACCUAGUGCCAAUACUAGACUCUACCUACGAAUAUCUCAGUGUUGGUAAUGAUUGGAAAAUUUGUUUUUGACAUAUAUUGAAGUUGCUCCAUCGAGUAUUUGGGUACUCGGACGAACAAAAAGAGAAAAUGGCCGUGUAUAUUAUAGAAUUCAUUAGAAAGCUUGAUAGAGUAGCGUAAAAAUCAUAUUAUACAUCGAAAUGUCAGAACACGGGUCUAACUUUUCAUCAAAUAUUUCAAUUGUCCCUAGUUAAAUAUUAAAAAAGAUGUCACCGAUAUGUCUUGACUUUCAGGCGCCAUUUUUGUCGAAAUAUUGUGUAUUUGUACACCUUUUUGUGAAUUUAUUUAUUGCAAUAAAUGUUGAUCCUUCUAGCGAGUUUUAGGAAAAGAAAGGAUCUGACCUAACCUAACAUAACCUAGAAAAAAUGGCGUCUAAUGUCACACUAUAGACCAUUCCAGGGUGACGUCAUUUGACAGCGACUGGUGGGCAAAAUAUUGUAAACAAACUAGGUUAAGUGUAGAAAACCAUUGUUUAAUUAAGAAUAUGAUUAAAAUACCAGCGUUUUGUUCAGUUUGAAAGUGUUCCAGUAAAGGUAAAAGAGAUAAAGUAAGUUUUUUUUAUAAUACCAGCCGCAUUUAAAGACCGAAAUGUUUUAAAUCACUAUAAUCACAAUACACUGUAAACAGAACGACGAUAUGGGCCAAGAAAACUGAUUUUCUGAUUAUACCGGGUUUUUGCAUCCCCUACGAGGGUGUCCUAUAUCCAAUAUUUGAAAUUUUUGUAGUUAAAACCACAGAUUUUUUAUAAUAAGGCGAGAAAAUAGCAAAAAUAACACCAUAAACACAAUGUUUGCCCCUCGGCAACGGUGUCGAAAGUCACGUGACCUGGAAUGGUCAAUUAUGACAAAUUUAUUAAACAAUCAAAAUUAGCAAAAUUAUAAUUGCUUCAUAAACUGUGUAGUUCAAAUAGGUAUAAUAUCGUCUUCCAUACUGAAAAUUUACUGAUUUUUUUAAUUUCUCGAUAGUUAUUGAAAAAAAGUAGGUAGUGUGGAACUUGCUUAUAGAUCUAGACAGCUUCUUUUGAUUGGAUUUAGAUAAUCUUAGGAAACGAAUUUUAGGAAAAAGCCUAAGAAGAUGGCUUGGAUGUAGGUAAAGGUGAAGUGAAAGAUAGUAAAACAAAACAGGAAAUUAACAACUGAAUAAAAUCAACCGAAAUUGGAAUAAAAUAAUUGAUAACGUUACACCCUUACAUGACAUUAGUAACGUAAGGUUGCUAUGUUUCCAAAAUACGUUUCUUAACAGUAUAUUCCUCUUUUUUAGCUGAAAUGUAGUUGAUUCAUCGAUCUUUACGAAUCAUUUUUGCAAAUCAAAAUAAUACGUUCUACUAUAGAAAAUUAUAGUCGAGUAGCUAAAUUAUCGAUCGAAAUAUUUGUUGAACAGUUACGACCCCUCCAUCAAAUCUUUUGAAUUGUUACGUUUACCUUAUAAGGAAAUUUUUGAAACGCGAGCGAGGUUUGUAUAAAAAGAAAUAUAAUCAUUGGUAAAAGAUUUUAAUUAUACUAAUUAUAACUUUGUGAUAUUGUAUUAAUCUAUUGCAUUUAUUUUCUUUGUAAAUUAUUAUCAUGUACUUUUUCGGGACAAGACAUCUUGUAACGUGACACUUCGUAACGCCACAAAUGGUAACGCCGUUAAUUCGUAACGGCGACACUUUGUCACAUCGACAGUUCGGAACUAUAACUUCGUAACGGUAUAAUUCGUAACGUCAAAUGGAAUUAUUCUGUUUAUUUUUGUUGACUUGGAAACGAACUUUUAUUAUGGUUGCAAUAAUAGUAUAUUAUUUUUAAAUUUCCUCUUCGCUGCAAAAUACAUUUAUUGGAUAGAUACAGUGAUGCUAAAUUUGCCAAAAGAAAAACUAAAAAGUAUUGGCGUUACGAAUUAUACCGUUACGAACUAUCGACGUUACGAAUUAAGGCGUUACGGAUUGUCCGUUACCAUUUGUGUGGUUACGGACCGUUGCGUUACUAGAUGUCAUGUAACCGUACUUUAUAUAUAUACGUAUUUAUGCGCAUAUGUCUUAUAGUUAUUCGGGUGGCUCGAAGAGUAAUAGAGUUAAAGUAAUGGUCUUACGCUGUUGAGUUAUUAGGAAUGACAAAGCGAGCUGCAAGCUAAUGAUUUAGACGUCUUUAUUACUCUUUGAGCUACCGGGAUGACAGGGAGUGCUGUAAUUCAUUGGAAAAUAACUAAGGUGUGACAGAUGACAUCAAAAACGCGGUGUAGCUUUAAUUGUUACUUUUUUUCUAUCUAGAAAGUGUUCAGUUAACGAAAAUGGUAUCAACUUUACCGUUGCCACUAGAUUGCGUUUGUGAUAUUUAAUUUAUACAAAUAAAUCUCUCUCUAACAAUAAAACACUGAAAACGAUUGUUUUCUAUACUUCCACAAAAUUUAUUACAACUAUGUGACUACAGCUGUUUCGGCAGAGUGCCUUUCUCAAGUGAUUUAGUUUACUAUGUGUUUGCCUUUUUAAAGUCUUUAACUGAAGAGGUUGAGGAGGGGAGCUGUUUGUCUCGAGUUGGUCAUUCAGAAUUAUAUCAUUAUUUUUCAAUUUAUUAAUUUCCAUAGAUUCUAAUAAAGAUAGCUUAAGGCCUAUUGCCAAUUAUUAUAUAAGGAUUUUGAAUAUGCAGAAUUUGAAACUGUUCAUUAAAAUAAUGAUUAUGAUCUAGAAGGUGAAGUGCGUAUGUAUACGUGUCUGUUUUUCUAUUGUUGAAAGCCUUUUUGUGUUCUGCUAUCCGUUUGUCAAAGGUUCUGCCAGUUUUACCGAUGUAAGUUUUCGGACAGUCACCACAAGUUAGUUUGUAAACACCACUCUGUAGUUGUUUUCUCAUUCGGCUCUUAUUGUUCUUAAUAUAUUUGCUUAAGUUGUUGUUAGUUCUGAAAGCUGGUGUUAUUCCUUUCUUUUUUAUGUAUCUGGCUAUUUUUGUUGUUAUCUUGUGAUAUAUGUGAUAGAGCAGAAGGUACUGGGUUCUUUCUGUGGUGGUGGAUAGACUAAUUUCAGGGCUUUCUUAUGGAGUUUUUGGUUUAAAAUUUUGUUAAUUGUUUGUUCGUUAUAGCCAUUGUUUACUGCUAUUUGUUUAAUGAUGUUCAGUUCUAUCUAGAAGUUAUUUUUUGACAUGGGAAUUUCUGUCAGUCUAUGUAUCAUGCUAUGGUAGGCUUCUAAUUUGUGUUGUGUAGGAUGGGAUGAUGAAUUGUGUAUAGUUAUAUCAGUAUGGGUAUGUUUAUGAUAUACGGAGAACUCAUGUUUGUUGUGUAGUCUGGUAAUUGUAACAUCUAGAAAGUUUAUGGACUUAUUCUGUUCUGUUUCUAUUGUAAACUCAAUAUUACUAUGAAGUGAAUUAAUGUAUGAUAGAAAUUGGUCAAGUUCCCUGUUAGUUCCUGUAAAGCAUACUAGUAUAUCAUCCACAUAUCUCCACCAAUAUAAGAACUGUUUAAAUACGGGAUGUUUAGAAAUUGUUUCAAGCUGGUUCAUGAAUUAUGAAUGGGAUUAGAGGAUUACCCAUAAUAAGUCCUGAACUGUUGUUUGUGUAUAUUUGUUUAUUGAAUUCAAAAUAGUCUUGAUUUAUGCAAAUUUCAAGAAGGUGUAAAAUUUCAGAUGCAAUGAUCGAAUUUGUACUAUUAUGGUCUAAAAGAUUUUUAACUAAAACAAUCUCUCUCUCUUUCUGUCUUGUCGUCUUCCCAUUCUUGAGGAUCGUGUUUUACUCAAAUACUUCUAACAAAUUUGCUCCAUUGCAUUUCUUGUUUAUUUGGUGCUAUAAGUGUAGUGUCAUCAGCAAAUCUUUAAUUGGAGUUUUUCUACCAGCCAACGUUACUCCACCUAUCCAUUUUUCUAAAGCUAUUCUCAUAAAAAGUGCACCAUAAAGGUUGAAUAAGUCAGGUUAUAAAACACAACAAACAACCUUGUCUAGCCCCUCUCUCUGCUCUGAAUUGACUUGAGAACCUGUGAUCUAGUGAUGUUGCCAUAUUGACUGUUAAAUAAGUCACCAGUUGUAUCGGUGUCUCAUCUCAAAGAUUGCACAAUCAAAUGCCUUCUAGUGGUAAACAAAGCAUAUUAUCAAGGGUGCUUGAAAUUCUCUCAACAUCUCAAUUAGCUGUCUCAUCAGUACUUGCUCAUUCCGCUUGUUCCUGCGGUAUAAUAUUGUAGGUGUAGGUAAAUUUUUAAUCUGUGUUUGAUGAUAUGCAGCAAAAUUUUACAUUACAUCUAUUCUGCGUUCCGCAGUCACUUUGCAGUGUGGGCAGCAUAUCCCAAUAUAAAACUUAUGGAACCUUGCAGCUCAGUGUUGCCGGUUUUAAGCAGACGAACUUAAAGUCCGUCUAAAUACAAUAUUCCAGAAGUCAAAAACAUCUUAAUUUGAAAAUCUGUGGGUUUUAUUAUUUUUAAAUAAUUCAUAGAUAGGUACUAUGAAAGAUAUUUAUACGAUAUUAAAGAUAUAUCCACUUGCUUCCGUACAGCCAUGAUGUGAACUUGUCAGAUAGAGCUCAUUGGUACCUCGGGCGAAAAACAUUGGAUAUUUUAUUCAUCCAUGUUAUAAUUCACAUCUUUGUCAUAUGUUCCGAUGACGGAUCAAUUGUAAAGGGUUUUUACCCAUAUAUUUUUACUUUGGUGGUUAGCAUGUAGAUUCUAAGAUUGCACUGAUGAUGAUCGGUCAACCGAUCGAAAACUAGUUCUGUCUUUGAUGUAGCCCUGUAUAGGGAUUUUAACAAAUAUACCUUUUAUAAAGGAUAUAUCAUUUGAAUAUUAAUUUUAAUUAGCCUGUGAUUAAUAUUAUAUUUAAUAGUUAUUUAUGAUAUAAAUAUUAAAAGUACAAUUUUAAGGCACGCAUGUGAAAGUUUGCAGAAUGAGCGAAGCGAAUUCUGCAAUUCACAUGAGUACCUUAAAAUUGUACUUUUUAACACGUGUACUUUGUACGCACGUAAGAAGUUAUACUUCUAUUAUAUGAUUUCAACGAAAUAAAUAUACUUUCAACAGGUUAUUUGUAUUUAAAGAUUAAACUAAUUUUUACUUACUACUUUCCAAAAAUUUUUAUUAAAACAAUACUAAAAAUAAAAAAAAAAGUUAGAUAACACACGGAUUCGAACCGGCGACCUCUCGCUCUCCGGUCUAACGCGCUACCACCGAGCCAAACUCCCUUUGCUUUGACAGCUUACAAGAUUUCUCAUACAUACUGACAAAUUUAAUAGACCAAGUGAGGUAUAAAAUAGUUUAAAAUUUAUUUAAUAUAAAUAUUAAAAUCUCUUGGCAACACUGUCCUUCAUAAGAGUCUGUACUGAAAGGUGACCGUGGAACGCAGUAUAGUAGUGGCUCCUUUUUUUAUUUAGUGGAAUAUAAAUAAACCAAUCAGAUGGCGAUUUUUCCGACUUAUAAAGAACGACACAUAUAGAAUACAGGAUAUAUAAUCCUUUGUCACCUAGUGACUGCAGAAUUUCUCCCGGUAUUGUGUCGAUUCCUGGGGAUUUAUUUCUCUUUAACGAUUUAAUUGCGUUUUUUACUUCAGAGAGUAAUAAAGUAGUUUCUCUAGGGCAAUCGGAGGGCCAUAUAUUUUUUGCUGGAGUUUCGUUCUUUUAUUAAAGUAUAUUAAACAGAGUAUUUAGUUGAUAGAAAAGUUUAACGCCAACUAUUUUUAGAAGAAAAAUAGUAAAACUAAACAAAAGGUUAACAAAUAAAUAAAAUCAAAAGAAAUUGGAAUAAAAAAAUAUGGAAUUGACAUUAUUCUAACGUGGCCUACAAAUCUAAGUAUCAGAAUGAACUUUCGAAAAAAAAAACUGAAUCAUCCGUAAUUUGGUCUUUAAAGAAAACACAUCUUGCAAAAUUUUCGGAACAUUAAUGAACUAGGCAUGCUCUAAUUAGUGCCAUCUGUAGGCUAUAGUGGUAUUAAUACCAAUUUAAUAAACUGAACGUUUUAUAGAACGAAAACGAGAAACAUUUUUUGCUAAAUAACGCGUUGUUUUGACGUCAGCUGUCACUAUAUAGCUAAUAUCCAAUGAAUUACUGUACAUCCCGUAUUUAAUUAAUAAAAUCAUAAAAUGAGCAUGUUGUAUAAUAUUCUUUUAGUUGAUUUAUUUUUGUAUGUGAUCUCGAUUUUAUUCAAAAUUAGCACAAUAUUUGAGAACUUGUCUUUUGUUUGAAAAUAGUUUCUUUUAUUAACUUUUCGUUGUAAAUUACAAAGUGUAUUUGAAAUAAACAUAUUCAAAUUACA